UGAGUCGGUCGGGCGGCCGCGUUGCACCUCUGGUGCACCGAGGAACGUCCGGGCUCCGUAGAGCAAGGUGGUGGGUAACGCCCACCCGGGGUGACCCGCGGGAAAGUGCCACAGAGAGCAGACCGCCCGUCCUCGGACGGGUAAGGGUGAAACGGUGGUGUAAGAGACCACCAGCGCGGCGGGCGACCGUCGCGGCUAGGUAAACCCCACCUGGAGCAAGACCAGACAGGGUGCGUUCGAGGGCUGCUCGCCCGAGCACCCGGGUAGGUCGCUGGAGGCGUGCGGCAACGUACGUCGUAGAUGGAUGGCCGCCCAUCGGAGCGAGGCAACUCGCCCGUGGACAGAACCCGGCGUACAGACCGACUCAUCCG
rnacentral:RNase_P_RNA from 1 species